rnacentral:rRNA from 1 species
AUUGAACGCUGGCGGCAUGCCUUACACAUGCAAGUCGAACGGCAGCGCGGGGCAACCUGGCGGCGAGUGGCGAACGGGUGAGUAAUAUAUCGGAACGUGCCCUGGAGUGGGGGAUAACGUAGCGAAAGUUACGCUAAUACCGCAUACGAUCCAAGGAUGAAAGCAGGGGACCUUCGGGCCUUGUGCUCCUGGAGCGGCCGAUAUCUGAUUAGCUAGUUGGUGGGGUAAAAGCCUACCAAGGCGACGAUCAGUAGCUGGUCUGAGAGGACGACCAGCCACACUGGAACUGAGACACGGUCCAGACUCCUACGGGAGGCAGCAGUGGGGAAUAUUGGACAAUGGGCGCAAGCCUGAUCCAGCCAUGCCGCGUGGGUGAAGAAGGCCUC